rnacentral:rRNA from 1 species
AAACCAGCACCUCAAGUGGUCAGGAUGAUUAUUGGGCCUAAAGCAUCCGUAGCCUGCUUUGUAAGUUUUCGGUUAAAUCCAUAUGCUCAACAUAUGGGCUGCCGGGAAUACUGCACAGCUAGGGAGUGCGAGAGGUAGACGGUACUCGGUAGGAAGGGGUAAAAUCCUUUGAUCUAUUGAUGACCACCUGUGGCGAAGGCGGUCUACCAGAACACGUCCGACGGUGAGGGAUGAAAGCUGGGGGAGCAAACAGGAUUAGAAACCCCAGUAGUCC